UGCGAGGUGAAAUCUCAUCCCAAGAUCAAAAGUUACCAAGAGUUCAGUGUUGAUUGGAUCAAUGUUUCUGAGUCACACAGUCCUGUUUUUGAGCCGACCCAGGAACCCAGAGUCAGCACCUCUGUAAGACUGACAGACAAUGCUCUCUGGACUUGACGGGGGCUAUUAGUCCUACAGCCAAAGGGAAAAGUCGACUGGAGCAGACAAACAUGAAGUCCCAAUCAGGCAGUCUCCUGGUCAAUCGAGACUCACACAGAUGAAUUCAGUCACAUGGUCAAAAGUCCACAUCUGCACAAGGAAAAACAGAUAUUUGCAGCCCGAAUCCUGAACAGAACUGAUAGUUAUUGAAACAUUUGCUAUUAUGCAAUUGGGUUUUGUUUUGAGUAAAACCACUUGUUCUGUUUUUGUUUUUAAUUGGAGUUGGCUUGGGUCUAUGCAGAUGGCUCCUGUAUAAUAAUUAAGAAGAGAAAAAAAUAGUGAAGUGAACUGCUAGCAUCGCACCUUAAUACUUUAUUAUGAUCAAUGAAAAACCUCAGUUGCUGACUGAAUUUCUCCAAACACAAGAUACCUCUGAUUUAUAAUACCCCUGAAUAUCUGAGAGAUUGGAAAUAUAAAAAUGACCUCAUUCUACACUUCCCUUUUCACACAGAAAAUGGGAGACAGAAAGAGAAGGAGACCGAGACAAAAUGCCCAACGUGACUGAUUGAGUUAAUGCUAGCACAACUUUGGUGUUACCUUAAAUUUGGUGGCCUCACAUGACCUCUCAUUUAACCCGCUCCUAUUACUGCUUCUGCAAAGACUUCAAUUAUGCUCUUUUUCCAGCACUUAUUCCAUGGGUUCUACCUCCUUUAUGUAUAUAUGUGAACAUAUAGUUGUCUUUUGUUUCCGAAGAAGACAGUAUUGACAGUGAAAUCCACUUUUGAAUGUGUGUGGGGUUUAAAAAGAUCAAUGUCCCUGUCCCUUACUGUGGUGUUAAUAUAUGCAGGGCCUGGA